UAGAGUUUGAUCCUGGCUCAGGACGAACGCUGGCGGUGCGCCUUAUGCAUGCAAGUCGAGCGAAGCUUUUCAGUAGUUUACUACAGAAAAUGACUGAGCGGCGAACGGGUGAGUAACGCGUGAGCAACCUACCUUAGUUACUGGGAUAGCCCGAGGAAACUCGGAUUAAUACCGGAUAUUCUUAUUUAAUCACAUGAUUUUUUAAGGAAAGGUCAGCCGAACUAAGAUGGGCUCGCGUUCUAUCAGCUAGUUGGUAGGGUAAUGGCCUACCAAGGCUACGACGGAUAGCUGGUCUGAGAGGACGAUCAGCCACACUGGGACUGAGACACGGCCCAGACUCCUACGGGAGGCUGCAGCAGGGAAUAUUGCGCAAUGAGCGAAAGCUUGACGCAGCGACACCGCGUGUGGGAUGACGGAUCUA
rnacentral:rRNA from 1 species